CAUGUUGUUGCAGAGGUAACAGUAGAAGUGUUCACAUCGUGGCCCCUGUCAGAUUCUUAUGCAUCUGCGAAUUCUGCU
rnacentral:ribozyme from 1 species